AAGGGGUUUGACUGUUAUGGCUCUCCAUCUUCUUCUCCCCCAUUAAUAUCUUCGUUAGCGUAAUGGAUCUGUGUAUUUUUGAUUUUUUCUUCAUGGGUUUGAGCAAAACAAUUUGGAUUUGUGAUUUGGGGGUUCUGAAUUUGUUCAAUAAUAAAUAAAUGGUAAUUUGUUUGCGUCUCUUCUUCUGCCUGCUUUCAAUUUGUUUCUCUUCUGUCGGCUUGCAAUAGGGUCUCUUCUUUUGCCUGCUUGCAAAAUUGCAAUUGCUUGCAUCAUUAAUUUGUUCGUGGUAUGUCUAUACUCUAUUUGGUUUUUUGGAUUUUGGACGGAUGGAUUGAUAAUUUGUUGAGCACUGUCUAUUUGGAUUGUUGCCAGCCCAUCGGCAGAUAUGCCUUCACAUAAUUUAUUAUGUCUACUUGGAUUGUUGUCCACUGCCCUGUCUUGGUGC
rnacentral:lncRNA from 1 species